rnacentral:rRNA from 1 species
AGAGUUUGAUCAUGGCUCAGGACAAACGCUGGCGGAAUGUAUUAGGCAUGCAAGUCGCACGAGCCUUCGGGCUAGUGGCGGACGGGUGAGUAACACGUGGGUAACCUGCCUCGUAGUGGGGAAUAACUCGCCGAAAGGCGAGCUAAUACCGCAUAACACCCCCGGUGAGAAUCCGGGUGGUAAAAGCUCUGGCGCUACGAGAGGGGCCCGCGGCCGAUUAGCUUGUUGGUGGGGUAAUGGCCUACCAAGGCGACGAUCGGUAGCUGGUCUGAGAGGAUGGUCAGCCACACGGGGACUGAGAUACGGCCCCGACUCCUACGGGAGGCAGCAGCUAAGAAUCUUGCGCAAUGGGCGAAAGCCUGACGCAGCAAUUCCGCGUGGGGGACGAAGGCCCUCGGGUCGUAAACCCCUUUUGCGAGGGAAGAAGUUCUGACGGUACCUCGCGAAUAAGACACGGCUAACUACGUGCAAGCAGCCGCGGUAAUACGUAGGUGUCAAGCGUUGUCCGGAUUUAUUGGGCGUAAAGCGCCCGCAGGCGGCUUAACAAGUUCGAGGUGAAAUCUCCCGGCUCAACUGGGAGGGUGCCCCGAAAACUGUUAGGCUUGAGGCGGGAGAGGGAUGCGGAAUUCCAGGUGUAGUGGUGAAAUGCGUAGAUAUCGGAGGAACACCAGUGGCGAAGG